rnacentral:rRNA from 1 species
GACGAACGCUGGCGGCGUGCUUAACACAUGCAAGUCGAACGAUGAACCGGAGCUUGCUCUGGGGAUUAGUGGCGAACGGGUGAGUAACACGUGGGCAACCUGCCCCAGACACCGGGAUAACCAUUCGAAAGGAUGGCUAAUACCGGAUACGACCACUUCGGGCAUCCGAUGGUGGUGGAAAGGAUUCUGGUCUGGGAUGGGCCCGCGGCCUAUCAGCUUGUUGGUGGGGUAAUGGCCUACCAAGGCGACGACGGGUAGCCGGCCUGAGAGGGCGACCGGCCACACUGGGACUGAGACACGGCCCGGACUCCUACGGGAGGCAGCAGUGGGGAAUAUUGCGCAAUGGGCGAAAGCCUGACGCAGCGACGCCGCGUGAGGGACGAAGGUCUUCGGAUUGUAAACCUCUUUCAGCAGGGAUGAAGCGAAAGUGACAGUACCUGCAGAAGAAGCACCGGCUAACUACGUGCCAGCCGCCGCCGUAACAC